CUUUGCAGUCAGACCAAUUUAAGUUCAAAUCGAACAGCACCGUUUAUGAUCCCUGUGGUCUCAGAUUAAAAUUAGAAAUUAGGCGCCUUGGACAUUGAAAACACUGAGUGAGGCUUGACUUGUAGUAUUAUCUUCCACCAGUGGCCAUCGGAAAGAAUCCACAGCAAAUACCAGAGCUGACGACUCAAAGCAACAUCAAUGAACAAUAAGAGCCGGAGAGCACGGAUCGGGUGAGCUGCCUUGGGGCUCAGCCACACUGGUUCCAGCUGAGGGGAGGCCGGCAGGAAAGAGAACUUGUGACUUCCGUGUGUCAUGGAACCUGGGACGGAGAACACGCCAACCAUGAUAGGGGCAGAUGUGCUGAAAACAUCCCUGAGUCAGAGCUGCAUUAAAUUUACAUAGGAACUUCAAUCAAAUUCACAUCUCUACAUUAUUGAAACUUUCCAAGGCAAGAUGUGUGGAGUGGUCCAGAGGCUGUGACAGAAAGCUCACAAACAGCUGAGCGCAUCGUGAACCGGGGUACACAAUUAACUCGCCUUCGUUGCCAAGAACCAAACCCUGUGAUAGCCCUUUCCUCAAGGUUCCAGACCUAGAGAAGAGGCGGAGCCUGAGAACAGCCAGGAGACAGAGGAUAUGAACUAACUCCACGUCCAUCCGAUGGAAUGUCAUCGGCAGAGUUCUAAAGGCAAACAGAUUUGCAAUGACUAAGGCGACUCUUCGCUGAUUGGCUGGCCAGCUGGUGAAGGGUACCCCUAAGCAACUGUGCAAAGGGCUGAGGGAGCAGCCUUGAGAGAGGGGGUGCUGGUUUUAAAUGUGUAUUUGCUGGGAUGUAAGAGAACGAAGGUGAGAGCUGAUAGUAGGCGUUCUUCUCAUUUCUUUAUAAGUGUUAAUGCGUCCAAUCCAUCAUGGCACCACUAUGAUGAAGGGACCAUUAUGGAGUGUAUUUUUGGCAUGAGGAAACUGAGGGAAAAGAGAGGAUAAUCAACUUAUAUAAACUUAAGUGAUGAGGAAGGAGCAGAACUGGAUUUGAACUGAAGGAGCCUGACUUGGAAGUCCAUCUCUGUUUUACUGCCAUCUAACAAUUAAAGUCAGUAACUCUUGGCCUCUGAAAUAAAAAGCCUAGAACUUACCAA